rnacentral:lncRNA from 1 species
CUAGUAGUGUUGGGCAAUUUUUAAAAUCAACAUCAAGUUUCUUGUGAGCAUAAGAAUAUGAUCCUAUUCCCAUCAAAGCACAAACAGUCUCCUCAUACUCUUCAAUGCCCUCGCUAUCAAAAUUCAUUAGAACUGCAUCUAAGGGCUCAACAACAAAUUUCUCCUCUAUUGGUACUCCUGCUCAUCCUUAUACUAAACAUCC